ACGAUGCGACGCUGUGUGUGUGAUGAAGGCCUUCGGGUCGUAAAGCACUUUCGCUUGGGAACAAGAGAGCCGAUAAUACCCGGCUAAUUUGAGGGUACCAGGUAAAGAAGCACCGGCUAACUACGUGCCAGCAGCUGCGGUAAUACGUAGGGUGCAAGCAUUAAUCGGAAUUAUUGGGCGUAUAGGGCGCGUAGGCGGAUCUUCAAGUCGGAUGUGAAAUCCCAGGGCUCAACCUUGGAACUGCAUCCGAAACUGAAAGUCUAGAGGGUAGGCGGAGAAAACGGAAUUCCACAAGUAGCGGUGAAAUGCGUAGAUAUGUGGAAGAACACCGGUGGCGAAAGCGGUUUUCUAGCUUAUUCCUGACGCUGAGGCGCGAAAGCAAGGGGAUCAAACAGGAUUAGAUACCCUGGUAGUCCUUGCCGUAAACUAUGUAUACUUGGUGUAACUGGACUCAACCCCGGUUGUGCCGUAGCUAACGCGUUAAGUAUACCGCCUGGGGAGUACACUCGCAAGGGUG
rnacentral:rRNA from 1 species